UAAUUUUGAAUUUCAUUUGAUGCCUAAAGUUGUCUAGUUUCAGUUUGGUACGGAAUCCUAAUUUCAUUCCCCCCCCCCCCAACAAAAAAUCUGCUAUGUAGGAUGUUUAGAUUUACACGCAACUAAAAAAAAAAAAUUCCCCUUCCCUUAAAGCCUUUUCUUUCUAAAGGGGGCAUUAAAGUAAUAUCCAAUAACUGUUAGACCAAAAAAAAACACAGAUCAACGACGGACAGCGUCCGUGUCGGAGCUUCAUUUCUCGCUCUGACUGAGUUUUAGGUUUUCAAAAUUUUCCAUUUCUGGUCAAUUUCAAACAUUAAAAUUUUCAAUUAAACAAAAAACUAGGGAUGAUCUUCUGUUGAAUUUGAUUUUUUUUUAAUUUUUGAAAUGGAAACAGAAUUAUGCUGAUUAUUUUCAAAGUAAAAAGAAAGUUGUUGUUGUUCUAGUAGCUAAUGAAGAUUACGGAUUAUCUAUUGAGUUAUUCGCCUCCUCUUUGGGCGACUUUUAUAGCUGGAUUGCUUUUAGUCAUUACGCUCACUCUUUCAAUAUAUCUCAUCUUCGAGCACCUCGCUUCUUACAAAAAUCCGGAGGAGCAGAAAUUUUUAAUCGGAGUUAUUCUUAUGGUUCCUUGCUAUUCCAUAGAAUCAUUUGUAUCACUGGUGAAUCCAUCAAUUAGUGUUGAUUGUUCAAUACUACGUGAUUGCUAUGAAUCGUUUGCCAUGUAUUGCUUUGGAAGAUACCUUGUUGCUUGCUUAGGUGGCGAAGAGAGGACUAUUCAAUUCAUGGAAAGACUAGGGUAUGCAAGUUCUUUAACUCCACUAUUGGACCUCGAUUGUGAUAAGGGAACUGUUAAGCACCCUUUUCCUAUGAAUUAUUUCCUAAAACCAUGGAAACUUGGUCAAUGGUUUUACCAAGUUAUCAAGUUCGGCAUUGUCCAAUAUAUGAUAAUCAAGUUAUUGACUGCACUUUUAGCAGUAAUUCUUGAAGCUUUUGGUGUAUAUUGUGAAGGAGAAUUCAAAUGGGGAUGUGGGUAUCCUUAUAUGGCUGUGGUUCUUAAUUUUAGUCAAUCAUGGGCAUUGUACUGUUUAAUUCAAUUUUAUACUGUCACAAAGGAUGAACUGGCAUACAUAAAGCCUUUGGCGAAGUUUUUGACAUUUAAAUCAAUCGUGUUCUUAACUUGGUGGCAAGGUGUGGCGAUCGCCCUUUUUUCCGCUCUUGGUCUGUUUAGAAGUCCGAUUGCCGAAAGCUUGCAGCUUAAGUCAAGUGUCCAAGACUUCAUAAUUUGUAUAGAGAUGGCCAUUGCUUCUGUUGUUCACAUAUACGUUUUCCCAUCCGAACCUUAUAAACUAAUGGGAGAUCAUGUUCCUGGAAGUGUUUCAGUCCUUGGAGACUAUGCAUCCGUUGAUUCCCCUCUGGAUCCUGAUGAGGUUAGGGACAGUGAAAGACCCACAAAGCUACGCCUGCCUCAGCCUGACAUAGAGGCUCGAGGUGGAAUGACCAUCAAAGAAAGUAUGAGGGAUGUAUUUAUUGGUGGUGGUGAAUAUAUUGUAAACGAUGUAAAAUUUACGGUAAACCAAGCAGUUGAGCCUGUCGAGAAGGGGAUCAACAAGUUCAAUGAGAAACUACAUAAAAUCUCUGAAAACAUAAAGAAGCAUGGCAAAGACAAGAAAAAGGCGAGGGAUGAUAGUUUCAUUACCCCAUCUGCACGGAAGGUAAUUCGUGGUAUAGAUGAUCCCUUCUUAAAUGGUAGUAUGAGUGAUAGCGCGGUUGCAAGGGGAAAGAAACAUCGUGGAAAAUCAGGAUAUACCAAGGAAAAAUCAGGACAUACAAGCGGGGAAAGCGGAGGAGAAAGCAGUAGCGAUCCGAGCCAUGGUAGAUAUCAGAUUAGGGGCCAUAGAUGGGUUACAAAGGAUUAAAACUUAGAUGUAUAAGUAGCUAUCCGAACAUACGACACACCUGAGAGAUUCAGGCAGACAUCACCCUUCCAUCCAUAGCUUGUGGGCUGGCUAGCAUGGUUGAAACACUCAAGAGCAUUGUUUCUGCACGAGGUAAUUGGAACUUUGUGUUCUUUAAAUCAAGAUAUUAUCCAUGAUCAGCGGUGGAAAUUACGUCGAGUAUGGCAACUUGCAAGACCUCGCACAACAUCAGCGGCCCGACAAGUAUAUGAUUUAUGGAAAAAUCGAAAUUUUAAUCGGAACAAAGUUCAUCGAGCAACUCGCAAUGCUGGGGGCGGAAAAUGGGAUUAAGCAGUUCUACUGCUUCAGCAUCCCGUUAAUGCAGACCACAUACUGGUUUUCAAUGAAGAUUUGAGCCUUUUAACUAUUUAGAUGACCACAUCCACAAAAAAUAUGAAGAAAUUAGGUUAAAUCCAAAUCCAUUAUUUUUAGUGCAGUAGCAUACUGGCAACUUGAGCUGGCAAACAUUAUUUGAGGUCCAACUCUGCUUUUUUCCAUUCAUUUAUUUAUUUAUAUAUUAUCUCGAUUAAGAGCCAUUAUCAUAUGCUUUUUGCAUGCCGACAAUUAAUACAGAUGCAAUCUGAUUUAGACUAA